GUCCUGGUAGACAAAUCGGAUAAAGUCACCACCCUUUCAAGGUGGGGUUUGAGGGUUCGAUCCCUCUCAGGACA
rnacentral:tRNA from 1 species